rnacentral:rRNA from 1 species
AGCGAACGCUGGCGGCAGGCCUAACACAUGCAAGUCGAACGAACUCUUCGGAGUUAGUGGCGGACGGGUGAGUAACCCGUUGGAACGUGCCUUUUGGUUCGGCAUAACUCAGGGAGACUUGUGCUAAUACCGAAUGUUCCCUUCGGGGGCAAGAUUUCUCGCCAUUAGAGCGGCCCGCGUCUGGUUAGCUAGUUGGUGAGGUAACGGCACACCAAAGCAACGAUCAGUAGCUGGUCUGUGAGAAGGACAAGCCACACUGGAACUGAGACAAGGCCCAGACCCGAACGCGAGGGAGCGGAGGAGAAGGGUACACAGUGGGAGAGGGCAAAAGCCAGCGACGCCGUGUCCGGGAAAAAGGCAAUGGGGUAGGAUUGUAAAAUUCUUUCACCGGGGACGAUAAUGACGGUACCCGGAGAAGAAGCCCCGGCUAACUUCGUG